rnacentral:rRNA from 1 species
UGGAGGGCAAGUCUGGUGCCAGCAGCCGCGGUAAUUCCAGCUCCAAUAGCGUAUAUUAAAGUUGUUGUGGUUAAAAAGCUCGUAGUUGAACCUUGGGCCUGGCUGGCCGGUCCGCCUCACCGCGUGUACUGGUCCGGCCGGGCCUUUCCCUCUGUGGAACCCCAUGCCCUUCACUGGGUGUGGCGGGGAAACAGGACUUUUACUGUGAAAAAAUUAGAGUGCUCCAGGCAGGCCUAUGCUCGAAUACAUUAGCAUGGAAUAAUAGAAUAGGACGUGUGGUUCUAUUUUGUUGGUUUCUAGGACCGCCGUAAUGAUUAAUAGGGACAGUCGGGGGCAUCAGUAUUCAAUUGUCAGAGGUGAAAUUCUUGGAUUUAUUGAAGACUAACUACUGCGAAAGCAUUUGCCAAGGAUGUUUUCAUUAAUCAGGAACGAAAGUUAGGGGAUCGAAGACGAUCAGAUACCGUCGUAGUCUUAACCAUAAACUAUGCCGACUAGGGAUCGGACGGUGUUAUUUUUUGACCCGUUCGGCACCUUACGGGAAC